CCCGCCACCUCCCUUCAUCUCACCCUCCAACAUCACUAGGCUCAUUUUAUACAGGAGAAGCUUCCUCUUUUUGAAGUCUGUUUUUUGUCUUCCUAAUUAAAUGGAAUUUUGCUGAAACCUUGGAAAGUGAAAACAACAUAAUUUUUUGCCACAUAUGUAAUGCUCUUCAGAAUCUGGCUCCAGAACACAGUGAUUAGUUGGAAGGCCCUCUGGAAUUUAGGGAAGAGUCAGAUCAUCCCUUUCCCAAGAUGGGACUCAGAAGAAGGAAGCUGACUGAAGCUCAGUAGCUGCGUUCAUUUGUUUAUCAAAUAUUGGCUGACUGAUGCCUGACCUCUUGGAACUAGCUGAGUUCCCCUGGCUGGCUGGUUGGCUGAACUUCUGAUCUUUCCUUCCUGAACCUUCCCCAUCAACUCCUGUUUCUGCCUUUGCUCUUUUUGCUGGUUGGCUGCCCUCCCUGAGACUACCAAAAUGUUGCCAAAAGAUUGAGUGUACCCGUAAUGAUAAUAAAAUUGACUCAAUACAGGCAGAGACUUCAGAUAAAAACAACAGGAAAACCCACAGUAAAAAAUCAUUCUGUACAUUGAAAUGUGUAGCAGUAAAUUUUUUGAGUAUUUGAACUAGUUGACCAUGUUCCACUUACAUGAAGUAGGAAAGCAGUAGCAUAAUGUCAUGCAUAAAUCUUUUUAGACAAUGACAUUAUUACUUUCAACUAGUAGUAAAUUAACAAAAUAUAGUGAGAGUAGAAUAGAGAUCAGAAAAAAUCUAAGAUAUAGUAAAUGGUUUCUAGAUCUAGGCACUACGCUAAGCUUUUAAAAUAAUCUUAGCCUUAAAUCUUCUUGAUAUAGUGAGAAAACUAAAAACAAUGGGAGUAGAGCUUAAAUUGUGCCUAGGCUGUGUCAGACUGCAAAAGCCUAUACCCAGCUACACAGCUUCACAAACUGAACUCUGGUGAAUGAAUCAACUGUGGUUCAUUUCAUAAUGGACCAAAUUGUUGCUACCAAUCAGUCAAUCCUAGGCACAUUUACCUUCCCAGUUGAACAAUCAAUUAUUUACACUUCCUACUUCACUGUAUCUUUAGAUUAUCAAUAUUUUCUUCAAUCUUUUAGUUAUUUAAUGUCAUAUGACUACCCUCAAUAAUAGUAUAUAUGAAUGUUUGUUUUGGUGAUGGGAGGUCAAUCAGAUUGUUCCAGAUAACCACUGCCUUCCUACCUUGCCUAAAUAGGUAUUUCACAUAUUCUUUCCCUUAAAAACUGACAUAGGUCAGGCACGG
rnacentral:lncRNA from 10 species